CCACUGUGGCAGCAAGGAAGAUAUCACUAUCAAGAAAGGUGGUUUUCCCAGAAGGAGUCUUAUCCAUUGCACUCAAGGGGUCCUCAUCCCUUCAUUUUCUUCAAAUUUGGGAAAUUCAAACACAUAAUUUGUAGUAGUGGAAAACUGUCUUAGCUUUCCC
ensembl:snRNA U1 U1 spliceosomal RNA